AAGGACGAGCGGAUCUUCAUUAGCUUGCUUUUGAAGAUCAGCGGCGGACGGGUGAGUAACACGUGGGCAACCUGCCUGUAAGACUGGGAUAACUUCGGGAAACCGGAGCUAAUACCGGAUAAUCCUUUCCCUCACAUGAGGGAAAGCUGAAAGACGGUUUCGGCUGUCACUUACAGAUGGGCCCGCGGCGCAUUAGCUAGUUGGUGAGGUAACGGCUCACCAAGGCAACGAUGCGUAGCCGACCUGAGAGGGUGAUCGGCCACACUGGGACUGAGACACGGCCCAGACUCCUACGGGAGGCAGCAGUAGGGAAUCUUCCGCAAUGGACGAAAGUCUGACGGAGCAACGCCGCGUGAACGAUGAAGGCUUUCGGGUCGUAAAGUUCUGUUGUUAGGGAAGAACAAGUACCGGAGUAACUGCCGGUACCUUGACGGUACCUAACCAGAAAGCCACGGCUAACUACGUGCCAGCAGCCGCGGUAAUACGUAGGUGGCAAGCGUUGUCCGGAAUUAUUGGGCGUAAAGCGCGCGCAGGCGGUUCCUUAAGUCUGAUGUGAAAGCCCCCGGCUCAACCGGGGAGGGUCAUUGGAAACUGGGGAACUUGAGUGCAGAAGAGGAGAGCGGAAUUCCACGUGUAGCGGUGAAAUGCGUAGAGAUGUGGAGGAACACCAGUGGCGAAGGCGGCUCUCUGGUCUGUAACUGACGCUGAGGCGCGAAAGCGUGGGGAGCGAACAGGAUUAGAUACCCUGGUAGUCCACGCCGUAAACGAUGAGUGCUAAGUGUUAGAGGGUUUCCGCCCUUUAGUGCUGCAGCAAACGCAUUAAGCACUCCGCCUGGGGAGUACGGCCGCAAGGCUGAAACUCAAAGGAAUUGACGGGGGCCCGCACAAGCGGUGGAGCAUGUGGUUUAAUUCGAAGCAACGCGAAGAACCUUACCAGGUCUUGACAUCCUCUGACAACCCUAGAGAUAGGGCGUUCCCCUUCGGGGGACAGAGUGACAGGUGGUGCAUGGUUGUCGUCAGCUCGUGUCGUGAAAUGUUGGGUUAAGUCCCGCAACGAGCGCAACCCUUGAUCUAGUUGCCAGCAUUCAGUUGGGCACUCUAAGGUGACUGCCGUGACAACCGGAGGAAGGGGGGAUGACGUCAAUCAUCAUGCCCUUAUGACUGGGCUACCCCGU
rnacentral:rRNA from 1 species